GCCGGUUCAUAAAUCUUCUCGAAAAAACAAUGACAAAAUUUCAAAUCUAGUAAAUGAUGCUAAUUAGCGACAUAAGCUGAUCCAUUUAUGAAGACAAUUCUUGAUGUUAUUGCCGAACGCAACCGACAUCCGGCGUUUGAACACUGCAAAGAUUUCUCUUUUUAUAAAAGUUUUUUUCUUCACUAAAUAUAUAUUUUAAAGAAAUAAAUAAAUGAACGCAUAUAAGUUAAAA